rnacentral:lncRNA from 1 species
UCCAAAAACGGCUAAAUUGAGGGGUAUUUUGGGAAAAAAAAAUUUUGGACUCCUAUAAAUACCCCUUUCCUCCCUCAUUCUCACCACACCAAACCAACUAUUCUCUCCUUCUCUACUACUAUUAUUUCUCUCUUCUAAAGUGCUCUUCCAGCAAUUUAAUUUUUUUUUUGCAUUUAGCAAGUGUUCAAGUGCUACACAAGAGGAGGUUCCUGUUGAGAAGAGAAGGUCACUCCUGUUGAGAGCACAAGAGGAAGCUCAGAAUCUCGGCUCUGCCUCUGCCCUCUGACCCUCUACUCAAUUCCUUCUUGUGGUUAGUUUUUAUUUUUUGAAUUCAUCAAUUUAGAUGUCAUCUUUUGAGGAAAGUCAUUUUGGCAUUCCUCCUGUUUCUGAGGGAGAAGAAACUAAUCCCCAACCCCAUGUUCCUAGUUCCUCUAGAACUAGUGAACCGAGUGAAGAUCAAACCUCUUCUCGUAAGAGGACUAGUGCUGUAUGGAAUGAAUUUGAUAGAGUUAUGGUUGAUGGAGUCUGGAAAGC